UCACAAGGACUAUCCUGGCCAAGGUUUUACUAAAUUGAAACACGACUGUACACAGCUCCUAAACUGGGAUGGUCAAUCCCAUCUUGACACACGCACCGACAAGUCAUGUACUUGACUACACCCAGCAGCUUUCCGUCAUUGAAUUAGAAAUUCAGGUAGUCCAGUACCUAAGUGUAAUGAGUUGCUUGCAAGUCACCGUGACGG
rnacentral:lncRNA from 1 species